UGAUCCCCAAAAAGAGCCGCCGCUCCCCGCCGGGGCGGUCCCCAGACCUGGGCAGCCGCAGAGCCAGCUUCCUAGGCCUGGGCAAAAGGAGGAAACAGUCCCUCGACCCCCGCAGAACCCUCCAGGAGCUGGCAUCGCUGCUCCCCAGAUCCCUGUAUGCCAAUGGAAGGAAACUCACUAAGAAGGAGAUUCUGCUGCAUGUUCUGCGCUACAUCAAGCAUCUCCAGAGGAGCAUCAACAAGGUCCAGGCCCUACUGUACCUCCUGCCUGAGGACA